CCUACGGGGGGCAGCAGUGAGGAAUAUUGGUCAAUGGACGAGAGUCUGAACCAGCCAAGUAGCGUGAAGGAUGACUGCCCUAUGGGUUGUAAACUUCUUUUAUAUGGGAAUAAAAUGUUCCACGUGUGGGAUUUUGUAUGUACCAUAUGAAUAAGGAUCGGCUAACUCCGUGCCAGCAGCCGCGGUAAUACGGAGGAUCCGAGCGUUAUCCGGAUUUAUUGGGUUUAAAGGGAGCGUAGGUGGAUUGUUAAGUCAGUUGUGAAAGUUUGCGGCUCAACCGUAAAAUUGCAGUUGAAACUGGCAGUCUUGAGUACGGUAGAGGUAGGCGGAAUUCGUGGUGUAGCGGUGAAAUGCUGAGAUAUCACGAAGAACUCCGAUUGCGAAGGCAGUUCACUGGACUGCAACUGACACUGAGGCUCGAAAGUGUGGGUAUCAAACAGGAUUAGAUACCCGGGUAGUC
rnacentral:rRNA from 1 species